GAGGGCAUGGCGCAAUGGUAGCGCGUUUGAUUCCAGAUCAAAAGGUUGGGUGUUCGACUCACCCUGUCCUCA
rfam:Blastocystis sp. NandII AV274scaffold_183, whole genome shotgun sequence.